AUUGAACGCUGGCGGAAUGCUUUACACAUGCAAGUCGAACGGCAGCACGGGGGCAGCCCUGGUGGCGAGUGGCGAACGGGUGAGUAAUACAUCGGAACGUGCCCGGUCGGGGGGGAUAACGUAGCGAAAGUUACGCUAAUACCGCAUACGAUCUGAGGAUGAAAGCGGGGGACCUUCGGGCCUCGCGCGAUCGGAGCGGCCGAUGUCAGAUUAGGUAGUUGGUGGGGUAAAGGCCUACCAAACCGACGAUCUGUAGCUGGUCUGAGAGGACGACCAGCCACACUGGGACUGAGACACGGCCCAGACUCCUACGGGAGGCAGCAGUGGGGAAUUUUGGACAAUGGGCGCAAGCCUGAUCCAGCCAUUCCGCGUGCAGGACGAAGGCCUUCGGGUUGUAAACUGCUUUUGUACGGAACGAAAAGGCUCUGGCUAAUACCUGGGGCUCAUGACGGUACCGUAAGAAUAAGCACCGGCUAACUACGUG
rnacentral:rRNA from 1 species